GGCCUCCCUCUGUGGGGUGAUUGAUUGUGGGGCUCCCUGAUUGAUUGCCCAGCAGAGGGAGGCC
rfam:Myotis lucifugus cont2.15663, whole genome shotgun sequence.